rnacentral:rRNA from 1 species
AUUGAACGCUGGCGGCAUGCCUAACACAUGCAAGUCGAACGAGUGGCGGACGGGUGAGUAAUGUAUGGGAAACUGCCCGAUGGAGGGGGAUAACUACUGGAAACGGUAGCUAAUACCGCAUACCAUCGGAUGUGCCCCGAUGGGAUUAGCUAGUAGGGUGGGUAACGGCUCACAUAGGCAACGUUCCCUAGCUGGUCUGAGAGGAUGACCAGCCACACUGGACCUGAGACACGGCCCAUACUCCUACGGGAGGCAGCAGUGGGUAAUAUUGCACAAUGGGGGCAAGCCUGAUGCAGCUAGGCCGCGUGUAUGAAGAAGGCCUUCGGGUUGUAAAGUACUUUCAGCGAGGAGGCGUUACUCGCAGAAUAAGCACCGGCUAACUCCGUGCCAGCAGCCGCGGUAAUUC